rnacentral:rRNA from 1 species
AGACCCGAAACCCGGUGAUCUAGCCAUGGGCAGGUUGAAGGUUGGGUAACACUAACUGGAGGACCGAACCGACUAAUGUUGAAAAAUUAGCGGAUGACCUGUGGCUGGGGGUGAAAGGCCAAUCAAACCGGGAGAUAGCUGGUUCUCCCCGAAAGCUAUUUAGGUAGCGCCUCGUGAAUUCAUCUCCGGGGGUAGAGCACUGUUUCGGCUAGGGGGCCAUCCCGGCUUACCAACCCGAUGCAAACUGCGAAUACCGGAGAAUGUUAUCACGGGAGACACACGGCGGGUGCUAACGUCCGUCGUGAAGAGGGAAACAACCCAGACCGCCAGCUAAGGUCCCAAAGUCAUGGUUAAGUGGGAAACGAUGUGGGAAGGCCCAGACAGCCAGGAUGUUGGCUUAGAAGCAGCCAUCAUUUAAAGAAAGCGUAAUAGCUCACUGGUCGAGUCGGCCUGCGCGGAAGAUGUAACGGGGCUAAACCAUGCACCGAAGCUGCGGCAGCGAACGUAUCACCCAAGACAACUUUACGGAGUUGACGAUUGACGGAGCGAAGCGACGUCAAAGCGUUCAUUAAAGUCGAGUUGGCUUAGGGAUACGUUCGUUGGGUAGGGGAGCGUUCUGUAAGCCUGUGAAGGUGUGUCGUGAGGCAUGCUGGAGGUAUCAGAAGUGCGAAUGCUGACAUAAGUAACGAUAAAGCGGGUGAAAAGCCCGCUCGCCGGAAGACCAAGGGUUCCUGUCCAACGUUAAUCGGGGCAGGGUGAGUCGACCCCUAAGGCGAGGCCGAAAGGCGUAGUCGAUGGGAAACGGGUUAAUAUUCCCGUACUUGGUGUUACUGCGAAGGGGGGACGGAGAAGGCUAUGUUGGCCGGGCGACGGUUGUCCCGGUUUAAGCGUGUAGGUGUGUGUUCCAGGUAAAUCCGGUUCACUUUAACACUGAGGCGUGACGACGAGGCACUACGGUGCUGAAGCAACAAAUGCCCUGCUUCCAGGAAAAGCCUCUAAGCAUCAGGUAACACGAAAUCGUACCCCAAACCGACACAGGUGGUCAGGUAGAGAAUACCAAGGCGCUUGAGAGAACUCGGGUGAAGGAACUAGGCAAAAUGGUGCCGUAACUUCGGGAGAAGGCACGCUGACACGUAGGUGAAGUGAUUUACUCAUGGAGCUGAAGUCAGUCGAAGAUACCAGCUGGCUGCAACUGUUUAUUAAAAACACAGCACUGUGCAAACACGAAAGUGGAGGUAUACGGUGUGACGCCUGCCCGGUGCCGGAAGGUUAAUUGAUGGGGUCAGCGUAAGCGAAGCUCCUGAUCGAAGCCCCGGUAAACGGCGGCCGUAACUAUAACGGUCCUAAGGUAGCGAAAUUCCUUGUCGGGUAAGUUCCGACCUGCACGAAUGGCGUAAUGAUGGCCAGGCUGUCUCCACCCGAGACUCAGUGAAAUUGAACUCGCUGUGAAGAUGCAGUGUACCCGCGGCAAGACGGAAAGACCCCGUGAACCUUUACUAUAGCUUGACACUGAACAUUGAGCCUUGAUGUGUAGGAUAGGUGGGAGGCUUUGAAGUGUGGACGCCAGUCUGCAUGGAGCCGACCUUGAAAUACCACCCUUUAAUGUUUGAUGUUCUAACGUGGACCCGUAAUCCGGGUUGCGGACAGUGUCUGGUGGGUAGUUUGACUGGGGCGGUCUCCUCCUAAAGAGUAACGGAGGAGCACGAAGGUUGGCUAAUCCUGGUCGGACAUCAGGAGGUUAGUGCAAUGGCAUAAGCCAGCUUGACUGCGAGCGUGACGGCGCGAGCAGGUGCGAAAGCAGGUCAUAGUGAUCCGGUGGUUCUGAAUGGAAGGGCCAUCGCUCAACGGAUAAAAGGUACUCCGGGGAUAACAGGCUGAUACCGCCCAAGAGUUCAUAUCGACGGCGGUGUUUGGCACCUCGAUGUCGGCUCAUCACAUCCUGGGGCUGAAGUAGGUCCCAAGGGUAUGGCUGUUCGCCAUUUAAAGUGGUACGCGAGCUGGGUUUAGAACGUCGUGAGACAGUUCGGUCCCUAUCUGCCGUGGGCGCUGGAGAACUGAGGGGGGCUGCUCCUAGUACGAGAGGACCGGAGUGGACGCAUCACUGGUGUUCGGGUUGUCAUGCCAAUGGCACUGCCCGGUAGCUAAAUGCGGAAGAGAUAAGUGCUGAAAGCAUCUAAGCACGAAACUUGCCCCGAGAUGAGUUCUCCCUGAGACUUAGAGUCUCCUGAAGGAACGUUGAAGACGACGACGUUGAUAGGCCGGGUGUGUAAGCGCAGCGAUGCGUUGAGCUAACCGGUACUAAUGAACCGUGAGGCUUAACCUUACAACGCCGAAG